rfam:Ictidomys tridecemlineatus contig082018, whole genome shotgun sequence.
GGGGUUGUGGCUCAAUGGUAGAGCACUUGCCUAGAAUAUGUGAGGCACUGGGUUCGAUUCCCAGCACCA